UGUUGUUGGUUUUUGUGACUGUAACCCACUUAACUGCUGGGCGGCAACCAACUAGUCAGUAAUAACUGCGAAAGACUUAAAGUAACAUAAAGUGAAGCAUACUGUCGAUGGUAUCCAAUGUUGUCUGUCGAGACUACAAAGAAAUUACCUCAUGAUGUUUUUCAAUGGUCGAACUGAGAUGGUAUUGGAUAAGAAUAUGAGACGAAA